rnacentral:rRNA from 1 species
CCUACGGGGGUCAGCAGUGGGGAAUAUUGGACAAUGGGCGAAAGCCUGAUCCAGCCAUGCCGCGUGUGUGAAGAAGGCCUUCGGGUUGUAAAGCACUUUCAGUGGGGAAGAAAGCCUUGGGGCUAAUACCCUCGAGGAAGGACAUCACCCACAGAAGAAGCACCGGCUAACUCCGUGCCAGCAGCCGCGGUAAUACGGAGGGUGCGAGCGUUAAUCGGAAUUACUGGGCGUAAAGCGCGCGUAGGCGGUCUGAUAAGCCGGUUGUGAAAGCCCCGGGCUCAACCUGGGAACGGCAUCCGGAACUGUCAGGCUAGAGUGCAGGAGAGGAAGGUAGAAUUCCCGGUGUAGCGGUGAAAUGCGUAGAGAUCGGGAGGAAUACCAGUGGCGAAGGCGGCCUUCUGGACUGACACUGACGCUGAGGUGCGAAAGCGUGGGUAGCAAACAGGAUUAGAUACCCUAGUAGUC